rnacentral:rRNA from 1 species
UACGGGGGGGGCAAGCGUUGUUCGGAAUUACUGGGCGUAAAGGGCUCGUAGGCGGCCAACUAAGUCCGACGUGAAAUCCCCAGGCUUAACCUGGGAACUGCGUCGGAUACUGGAUGGCUUGAAUUCGGGAGAGGGAUGCAGAAUUCCAGGUGUGGCGGUGAAAUGCGUAGAUAUCUGGAGGAAUACCGGUGGCGAAGGCGGCAUCCUGGACCGACAUUGACGCUGAUGAGCGAAAGCUAGGGGAGCAAACGGG